rnacentral:misc_RNA from 1 species
AUUGGAGGAUCCUGGUAGAUACCGAAGAUUGGUUGGAAAACUAAAUUAUCUUACAAUCACACGCCCAAACAUCUCAUUUGCUGUAAGUGUAGUCAGUCAGUUCCUUCAAGCAUCAUGUAAUAGUCAUUGGGAUGCAGUUAUUCGAAUACUCAGAUAUAUUAAAGGAGCUUCAAGACAAGGCCUAUUAUAUGAAGGCAGGGGUCAUUCACAGAUUAUUGG